CGGGGGAUACUCAAGUGGUUAAGAGAACAGUUUGCUAAACUGUCAGGCCGGGUGACCGGCGCGGGAGUUCAAGUCUCCCUCCCUCGGCCA
rnacentral:tRNA from 1 species